AUUGAACGCUGGCGGCAGGCCUAACACAUGCAAGUCGAGCGGAUGAAGGGAGCUUGCUCCUGGAUUCAGCGGCGGACGGGUGAGUAAUGCCUAGGAAUCUGCCUGGUAGUGGGGGAUAACGUCCGGAAACGGGCGCUAAUACCGCAUAAGUCCUGAGGGAGAAAGUGGGGGAGCUUCGGACCUCACGCUAUCAGAUGAGCCUAGGUCGGAUUAGCUAGUUGGUGGGGUAAAGGCCUACCAAGGCGACGAUCCGUAACUGGUCUGAGAGGAUGAUCAGUCACACUGGAACUGAGACACGGUCCAGACUCCUACGGGAGGCAGCAGUGGGGAAUAUUGGACAAUGGGCGAAAGCCUGAUCCAGCCAUGCCGCGUGUGUGAAGAAGGUCUUCGGAUUGUAAAGCACUUUAAGUUGGGAGGAAGGGCAGUAAGUUAAUACCUUGCUGUUUUGACGUUACCAACAGAAUAAGCACCGGCCAACUUCGUG
rnacentral:rRNA from 1 species